CCCCCGCGCCCCCCCCCGCGCCCCCCCCCAGCCCCAGCCAGGAGGAGAGGUCCUGCUGGUGGUGGUGGAGGAGGAGGAGGAGGGAGAACUGGGGGGCUUCAAGCCCCACCACAUAAUGGCCACCACUUGGCUGGCUACCGAAGAGCCUCCUCCUCCUCCUCCUCCUCCUCAGAGAAGCCCGCUGGAAGACGGAGCCGGCCGCUCUCCCCCCAGGGCCACCCGCCGAGAAUGCCUCCUCCCAGGCAGGGCGGGAGGGGAAAGGGGGGCUCCGUGCCCAGCAGGGGCUUCCCCCUCAGCACUGGAAUAAGAGCAGUUAACAAACGAGAAUUGCUGAGGGAAAGCUGCCUCCAAGCCUCCUCCUAGCCCUCUGAGGGAAGGGCUCCAGGCCCAGCGUGGCUCUCACCUCACCAAAAGGAUGAGGAUAAUGAUAAUUAAUAAGAAGUCUCUGUUGCCUCAGGAAGAGGAGGAAACCCCUUCAGCCAUGCUACUCAGCCAGGAUAUGGCUUUUUUUAAAAAUACCUUGUGGGAGAAUGGUGGGGAUAUGGUCUUCAAGACCCCCUGCCAAAAACCAGUUUCUGAGGGGAAGUGGAGUUUCUGAGAGGGGAGUUCAUCUCUCUGCUUGGGCUUCAUCUUGUUUUCCAAAAAAAGAAAAAACCUGAGGGGAAAGGAAGUUUCUGAGAGGGGAGUUCAUCUCUCUGCUUGGGCUUCAUCUUGUUGUGCAAAAAAAGAAAAAACCUGAGGGGAAAGGAAGUUUCUGAGAGGGGAGUUCAUCUCUCUGCUUGGGCUUCAUCUUGUUUUCCAAAAAAAGAAAAAACCUGAGGGGAAAGGAAGUUUCUGAGAGGGGAGUUCAUCUCUCUGCUUGGGCUUCAUCUUGUUGUGCAAAAAAAGAAAAAACCUGAGGGGAAAGGAAGUUUCUGAGAGGGGAGUUCAUCUCUCUGCUUGGGCUUCAUCUUGUUUUCCAAAAAAAGAAAAAACCUGAGGGGAAAGGAAGUUUCUGAGAGGGGAGUUCAUCUCUCUGCUUGGGCUUCAUCUUGUUGUGGGGAGAAAAAAAACCUGAGGGGAAAGGAAGUUUCUGAGUGGGGAGUUCAUCUCUCUGCUUGGGCUUCAUCUUGUUGUGCAAAAAAAGAAAAAAUCUGAGGGGAAAGGAAGUUUCUGAGUGGGGAGUUCAUCUCUCUGCUUGGGCUUCAUCUUGUUUUCCAAAAAAAAUCUGAGAGGAAAGGAAGUUUCUGAGUGGGGAGUUCAUCUCUCUGCUUGGGCUUCAUCUUGUUUUCCAAAAAAAAUCUGAGAGGAAAGGAAGUUUCUGAGUGGGGAGUUCAUCUCUCUGCUUGGGCUUCAUCUUGCCAAAAGAACUCAAGCAAACCCCUUCUGUGGAUGCUGCAGCCGUGCUGACGUGAACAAAAGCCCGGCCACCUCACUGCCCACAUUUGUAGCAUUUGUCUGCAGAGGGCAACACGCGACAGAUUCUCCCCGUCCUCAGAACACUGGGGCGCCACAGUCUUCUGCAUCACGGUGAAAACCUGUCCACUCUUAGCGCGUUCUUGCUCUGUGCAGACAAAUGCUAGCACUAUGGACCGCGUAGGGCAGGACUUCUGAGCGCAACAGCACAGGGGCUGUAGCCGAAAAUUCCCUGAGGCCAGGGGCUGCUGUGUAACUACAGACUGGCCCUUUUAGUCUGAGAAAACUGGGUGCGACUUGAGGCUGUCCCAAGAAACCGGAGGCUUCUUUAUUCUCCCAACAGCUGUGUAAGGCAGCAUAAUUCCUAAGAGAGUGGCUGGCUUGAAUGGAACACCCUCCCUGCACAUGAGAAGCUUCAGGCUUCUAGAUACUCGCAACACCUUUCUGAGGCAGCAGCAUCUCUAAUUUCCUGGCAGGCUUGUACGGAACAUGCUUCAUGCAUGUGGGAAGCUUCAGGCUUCUUUAUUCUUUCAACAGAAGAGAGUUCUCUUUAUAUUCUCUCAAACUUGUUUUCGUGAGUGAUCUCUUUUUAUACCUGUGAACCGCUUAGAGCUAUCUGGAUGCAGCAGUAUAGAAACUUAAUGAAAGAAUGAAUAAAUAAAAGCUGUGGGAGGCAGCAUAAUCUCUAAGAUGGUGGCUGGCUUGUAUGCAUGUUAGAAGCACCAGGCUUCUUCAUAAUUCUGCCACCUUUAUCAGGAAGCAUACUCUCCAAUUUAGUGGCUGCCUUUAAUUGAACACGCUUCAUGCGUGUUCUAUUCCAUCCCCUCAACAUGACUUCGAGGAAAAAUUGGCAAGAAGAAAAAGAGUGGGCACAUGUGUCCCAAUGAAUUCGGUACCUGAGUGCUGCUUUUGGACCAUUUUCUCCUCCCAAAAGGCCUGCGUGACAGAGAUUUCAACAAACAACGAAAGGAGGCAACGACAUACAAGCCAAGAAGAAAUAAUUCACCAAAGGAGGAAACAACACUCAAGUCAAGCAAGCAGGAAAAGAGUCUCCAGGAAGAACUAAAAGAGGCAGCCACACACAAGCCAAGAAGGAAUUGAAAGAGCCGACAACGCACAAGAUAGCCAAGCCAAGGGCUAUGCACUUCACAGCCCAGGAUGCUCUGUCAAUCCAGGGGCCAUCAGUAGGAACUUCAGGCUGCUUUGUUCUCCCAACAGAUGUGGAAGGCAGCAUGAUCUCUCAUUCUGUGGCUGCCUGGAAUGGAACACGCUUCAUGCAUGUUAGGAGCUUCAGGCGUCUUCAUUCUCCCAACAGCCUUGUCCAGCUGGACUGCCUUUAGCAGGACACACUUCAUGUGUGCUGCAUUCUGUCUGCUCAGCAACCCUCUGUGGCAUGUUUGGCAGGAAGAGACAGAGUUGGCACCAAUUUGCAAUGACCUCCAUGCUGGAAUGGCGAUUUUGGAACGCUUUCUCCUCCCAAGAGGCCUGUGUGGGAGUGGGUUGCAAUAAAGAGCACAAGGAAUGAGGAGGAUGCAGAAGACAAGACAAGCUGACCUGAUCAAUCGUAUGAAGAGGAGGCGCUUUGUCAGAGAAUUGAAGAACUAUUCAACAGUUAUUCAGUUUUGUUUGUUAUAGUUCUUCGAUUUUAUUCAAAAUCUAAAUAUGUGUAAAUAUUGAGCAUACAUAUUUAUUUCACACUGAUUGUUACAAGGGAAUGUACAAAUGAAACUGUGAAAAGUAUAUUCACCAAGAUUUGCUCACACUUCACAAUAAAUGACUUGACUUGUUCUUUCCCAACAGAUUUCAGGAAAGAGCCGAAGGAGCAAGGAGAGUGAAGACAAGACAAGCUGUCCCAAUCUCUUUUGUGAUGAGGUUUCAUCAGAGAACUGAAGAACGUAUACAAAAUAUAAAUAUGUAUACAAAUAUUGAGCAUCCUUAUUGAUUACAUACUGAUUGUCACAAGAGAAUAUAAAAAUGAAACAACUGUGAAAAGUGUAUGACACGCAUCACAGGGGCGCUCUUGCUCUGGGCAGCAAGUCCUGCCUUAUUUCUUAUAAGAACAGAAGAAGCUGCUGCUGUCUACCGAGUCAGACCAUUGGGCCAUUGAGCUCAGUAUUAUCUGCACAGACUGGCAGCAGCUUCUCCAAGGGGUUUUUCCUUCCUCUCGCGACUGUUAUGUGUUGUUGUUGUUGUUGCUCUUUUUGUUCCUUCUUACCUUUGUUAUCUAACCUCUCUUCGGAGCACUAGGGAGCUGGCGACAAACUGAAGAAGGAGGGGAUUGCCUCUCCCUCCUGGCAAGAGGAAAGCUCUCUGAUUGUCGAGGCAACCCAUGAUCCUUCGGAUGCAAUCCAUACUUCUGAGGAGAAUGACCUUUCAGGUGAGUGCCAACGGUUCAUUAUCUACACAGACUGGCAGCAGCUUCUCCGAGGUUACAGGAAGGAGUCUCUCCCAGCCCUGUCUUGGAGAUGCUGCCUGGGAGGGAACUUGGGACCUUCUGCUUGCUAGCAGGCAGGUGCUUUUCCCAGAGCGGCCCCGUCAUCCCCUCAGGGGAAUCUCUUCCAGUGCUCAUGCAUGCUGUCUCCCAUCCAAAUGCAGACCAGGGUGGACCCUGCUUAGCAAAGGGGACGAGUCAUGCUGGCUACCACCAGACCAGCUCUGCCUCAGCUCCCAGCGCUGUGAACUACACAGUAUUGCGUGUACAGGAGCCCUGAAUAGGGUUCUUCUCAGGAAUCCCCCCCUCCCCUACCCCCACCAGUUUUCUGGGUUUUCCUCGUUGUCUGGUUUUAAAAUUUAAUGUGAAUGUU